rnacentral:tRNA from 1 species
GCCUGUGUAGCUUAGUUGGUAGAGCGCAAGGCUCUUAACCUUGUGCCAUGUGUU